rnacentral:rRNA from 1 species
ACGGAAGGCAGCAGUGGGGAAUAUUGCACAAUGGGGGAAACCCUGAUGCAGCGAUGCCGCGUGGAGGAAGAAGGUUUUCGGAUUGUAAACUCCUGUCUUAAAGGACGAUAAUGACGGUACUUUAGGAGGAAGCUCCGGCUAACUACGUGCCAGCAGCCGCGGUAAUACGUAGGGAGCGAGCGUUGUCCGGAAUUACUGGGUGUAAAGGGAGCGUAGGCGGGAUUGCAAGUCAGAUGUGAAAUACAGGGGCUCAACCUCUGGGCUGCAUUUGAAACUGUAGUUCUUGAGUGAAGUAGAGGUAAGCGGAAUUCCUGGUGUAGCGGUGAAAUGCGUAGAUAUAAGGAAGAACACCAGUGGCGAAGGCGAUCUACUGGACAGUAACUGACGCUGAGGCGCGAGAGCGUGGGGAGCAAACAGGAUUAGAUACCCUGGUA